CUGUGACUCUCAGUGUUAGGCUGACAUGCCUCUGCAGUCAAAACCAGGUGUGUUUGUGAAAACAAGGCACUUGUUGGCUUGAGAGCUGUAUCAACAGCAGCGUCCCUUCCUCCAGACCAGAACAUAAAAGACCCUUUACAUCUUUUGGAUCUCACGAAAACCAAAAUACAAAACAAACAUCUCUACUGCUGCCAUCACAAUCCACUAAAUCAGCAAUGUCCACUGAUGGUGUUAAAAGAAAACGCAAUGAGUCUCCAGAUAUUGAAGAACAGUCUUUGCCAACCACAGGCAAGUUAAAUCUGAAUCUGGCACUUACUGUAUUAAAACACAAAUAAAAAAUAUAGCUGCAAGCAGUGACUACAGGGUCAAGCCCAACAAGGGCAAAAAUGGACAAAAAGGUGAGUUUGGGAAUAUAGUUUAAAGCUAAGGGAAAACCUCCUGAUUUUAAGGUGAAAUUGUCCAAAGUUCCCUUUCGAGGGAAUCUCAGCAAUGUGUCAUGCUAGUCAGGCCCGGAUUAAGGAUUCAGAGGCCCUGGGCACAAUGUCUUGUAGGC